ACGGGCCCCGCACAAGCAGCGGAGCGUGUGGUUAAUUCGAUGUUACACGAAGAACCUUACCAGGGUUUGACAUGCAAGUGGUAGGAAGCCGAAAGGUGACCGACCCUUCGGGGAGCUUGCACAGGUGCUGCAUGGCUGUCGUCAGCUCGUGUCGUGAGAUGUUCGGUUAAGUCCGCUAACGAGCGCAACCCUCGCUGUGUGUUAUAUGUGUCACACGGGACUGCCGGUCUUAAGCCGGAGGAAGGUGGGGAUGAUGUCAAGUCAGCAUGGCCUUUAUAUCCUGGGCUACACACACGCUACAAUGGCCAACACAAUAGGUUGCUAAGCCGCGAGGUGGCGCCAAUCCAUAAAGUUGGUCUCAGUUCAGAUUGUAGGCUGCAACCCGCCUGCAUGAAGAUGGAGUUGCUAGUAACCGCAGGUCAGCUAUACUGCGGUGAAUACGUUCCCGGGGCUU
rnacentral:rRNA from 1 species